CCCGCUGAGUUUAAGCAUAUAAACAAGCGAAGGAGAAGAAACUUACAAGGAUUCCCCUAGUAACGGCGAGCGAACCGGGAGCAUCCCAGCUUGAGAAUUGGGUGGCUGUGCCGUCCGAAUUGUAGUCUGGAGAGGCGUCCUCAGCGACGGAUCGGGCCCAAGUCCCCUGGAAAGGGGCGCCUGGGAGGGUGAGGGCCCUGUCCGUCCCGGACCCUGUCGCCCCACGAGGCGCUGUCAAUGAGUCGGGUUGUUUGGGAAUGCAGCCCAAAUCGGGCGGUAGACUCCGUCCAAGGCCAAAUACAGGCGAGAGACCGAUAGCACUACAAAAAAAAUA
rnacentral:ncRNA from 2 species